AACGGGUGAGUAACACGUGGGCAAUCUGCCCUGCACUCUGGGACAAGCCCUGGAAACGGGGUCUAAUACCGGAUAUGACCGUCUGCCGCAUGGUGGAUGGUGUAAAGCUCCGGCGGUGCAGGAUGAGCCCGCGGCCUAUCAGCUUGUUGGUGAGGUAGUGGCUCACCAAGGCGACGACGGGUAGCCGGCCUGAGAGGGCGACCGGCCACACUGGGACUGAGACACGGCCCAGACUCCUACGGGAGGCAGCAGUGGGGAAUAUUGCACAAUGGGCGAAAGCCUGAUGCAGCGACGCCGCGUGAGGGAUGACGGCCUUCGGGUUGUAAACCUCUUUCAGCAGGGAAGAAGCGAAAGUGACGGUACCUGCAGAAGAAGCGCCGGCUAACUACGUGCCAGCAGCCGCGGUAAUACGUAGGGCGCAAGCGUUGUCCGGAAUUAUUGGGCGUAAAGAGCUCGUAGGCGGCUUGUCACGUCGGUUGUGAAAGCCCGGGGCUUAACCCCGGGUCUGCAGUCGAUACGGGCAGGCUAGAGUUCGGUAGGGGAGAUCGGAAUUCCUGGUGUAGCGGUGAAAUGCGCAGAUAUCAGGAGGAACACCGGUGGCGAAGGCGGAUCUCUGGGCCGAUACUGACGCUGAGGAGCGAAAGCGUGGGGAGCGAACAGGAUUAGAUACCCUGGUAGUCCACGCCGUAAACGGUGGGCACUAGGUGUGGGCAACAUUCCACGUUGUCCGUGCCGCAGCUAACGCAUUAAGUGCCCCGCCUGGGGAGUACGGCCGCAAGGCUAAAACUCAAAGGAAUUGACGGGGGGCCCGCACAAGCGGCGGGAGCAUGUGGGCUUAAUUCGACGCAACGC
rnacentral:rRNA from 1 species